rnacentral:RNase_P_RNA from 1 species
GUUUUCGGGUAAUCGCGGUCUGACUUGAUCAGGCUGAGGAAAGUCCAUGCUCGCACAGACUGUGAUGUCUGUAGUGUUCGUGCUUAGCGAAAAAAUAAGCUAAGGUACUCUUUCGGGAGUAACGGCAGGAAAACGAGCUAAGGUCAUAUGACUAUGCUUUAGUAUCCUUGAAAGUGCCACAGUGAC